rnacentral:rRNA from 1 species
ACGGGUGAGUAACACGUGAGCAAUCUGCCCCUGACUCUGGGAUAAGCGCUGGAAACGGCGUCUAAUACCGGAUACGAGCUGCGAAGGCAUCUUCAGCAGCUGGAAAGAACUUCGGUCAGGGAUGAGCUCGCGGCCUAUCAGCUAGUUGGUGAGGUAACGGCUCACCAAGGCGUCGACGGGUAGCCGGCCUGAGAGGGUGACCGGCCACACUGGGACUGAGACACGGCCCAGACUCCUACGGGAGGCAGCAGUGGGGAAUAUUGCACAAUGGGCGAAAGCCUGAUGCAGCAACGCCGCGUGAGGGACGACGGCCUUCGGGUUGUAAACCUCUUUUAGCAGGGAGGAAGCGAAAGUGACGGUACCUGCAGAAAAAGCGCCGGCUAACUACGUGCCAGCAGCCGCGGUAAUACGUAGGGCGCAAGCGUUAUCCGGAAUUAUUGGGCGUAAAGAGCUCGUAGGCGGUUUGUCGCGUCUGCUGUGAAAACCCGAGGCUCAACCUCGGGCCUGCAGUGGGUACGGGCAGACUAGAGUGCGGUAGGGGAGAUUGGAAUUCCU